GCACAUAUAGUAGCAUACAUACUAAAUUUGGAAUCAUACAGAGAAGAUUGCAUAAGGAUAACAUACAAAUUUAUCAAGUGUUUCAUACUUUU
rnacentral:snRNA from 1 species